GAUGAAGAAACGUAGCGAAAUGCGAUACGUAAUGUGAAUUGCAGAAUUCAGUGAAUCAUCGAGUCUUUGAACGCACAUUGCGCCCCCUGGUAUUCCGGGGGGCAUGCCUGUCCGAGCGUCAUUGCUGCCCUCAAGCACGGCUUGUGUGUUGGGCCUCCGUCCUCCUCCCGGGGGACGGGCCCGAAAGGCAGCGGCGGCACCGCGUCCGGUCCUCGAGCGUAUGGGGCUUCGUCACCCGCUCUUGUAGGCCCGGCCGGCGCUUGCCGACACAUCAAUCUUUUUUCCAGGUUGACCUCGGAUCAGGUAGGGAUACCCGCUGAACUUAAGCAUAUCAAUAAGCGGAGGA
rnacentral:misc_RNA from 1 species